rnacentral:rRNA from 1 species
AUUGAACGCUGGCGGCAGGCUUAACACAUGCAAGUCGAGCGGGGGAAGGUAGCUUGCUACUGGACCUAGCGGCGGACGGGUGAGUAAUGCUUAGGAAUCUGCCUAUUAGUGGGGGACAACAUCUCGAAAGGUAUGCUAAUACCGCAUACGUCCUACGAGAGAAAGCAGGGGAUCUUCGGACCUUGCGCUCAUAGGUGAGCCGAAGUCGGAUUAGCUAGUUGGUGGGGUGAAGGCCUACCAGGGCGACGAUCUGUAGCGGGUCCGAGAGGAUGAGCCGCCACACUGGGACUGAGAAACGGCCCAGAGUCCUACGGGAGGCAGCAGUGGGGAAUAUUGGACAAUGGGGGGAACCCUGAUCCAGCCAUGCCGCGUGUGUGAAGAAGGCCUUAUGGUUGUAAAGCACUUUAAGCGAGGAGGAGGCUACUCUAGUUAAUACCUAGGGAUAGUGGACGUUACUCGCAGAAUAAGCACCGGCUAACUCUGUGCCAGCCGCCGCGGUAA